rnacentral:hammerhead_ribozyme from 1 species
AUCUAACUGACGAGUCCCAAAUAGGACGAAACGCACGUCUUGGAU